ACAGAGCAACAGGCACCGGCCCAUCUAGUCGCACCUGCUCCUGACCCCGACGGCUAGGGUUCCUAGCCGCCGCCGCCGCUUCCCGCCCUCCGGCGCCACGCGCCGAACCGGCCCUUCGCCUCCGCCUCCAUUUCCCUCCCGCCCAGCUUCGCCGUCGACCAGAUCCUCCCGCCCAGCUGCGCCACCACACGACGCCGAUGACCGGCGCAAAGCCGGCGACCUGCGCAACGCCGCGAGGGUACAACAAGUGUAUGUUGCAUGGAAAAUAUGAUGGUUACUUCCUGUGUAUUGAAAGCUCUACGUCGACAGUGGAACAGGUGGUGAAGGUCGACACGGAGGUCAUGGAAUAGGUGCUGCGCCGAACGGAGUUGCAGUGUGAUGACUUGUGUAAUGAAAGGGAUAGCAUGGUGUUGUGGAUGUUUGCUUGAGUGCUUAUCAGUUAGUGUACAUUGUGUUGUUGUGAUGAUUGAA